rnacentral:rRNA from 1 species
GACGAACGCUGGCGGCGUGCUUAACACAUGCCAGUCGAACGGAAAGGCCCUGCUUUUGUGGGGUGCUCGAGUGGCGAACGGGUGAGUAACACGUGAGUAACCUGCCCUUGACUUUGGGAUAACUUCAGGAAACUGGGGCUAAUACCGGAUAGGAGCUCCUGCUGCAUGGUGGGGGUUGGAAAGUUUCGGCGGUUGGGGAUGGACUCGCGGCUUAUCAGCUUGUUGGUGGGGUAGUGGCUUACCAAGGCUUUGACGGGUAGCCGGCCUGAGAGGGUGACCGGCCACAUUGGGACUGAGAUACGGCCCAGACUCCUACGGGAGGCAGCAGUGGGGAAUAUUGCACAAUGGGCGGAAGCCUGAUGCAGCAACGCCGCGUGCGGGAUGAUGGCCUUCGGGUUGUAAACCGCUUUCGCCUGUGACGAAGCGUGAGUGACGGUAAUGGGUAAAGAAGCACCGGCUAACUACGUG